CCCUCCAGAAAAGAAAAGAAAAAGCAGACCUCUUUCUAAUCCAGUGGUCACACGCAGACGUGAGAGACAACGGGAAACACAACGCCCUGCAUCAGAUUGAUUGAAGGGUUAAGCAAAAAUGAAGUCUCUGCAGCUUCACAAGACAGAAGAGACGAUCCUGUGCAUGAGGAAGGCCUUCAGCUAGAACAUCAAGAGUUUGGUAGUCUUGAAACUCAUCUCCAAGAGUUAAGGGACACCCUAACUGCAGUCCAGGUUCCGGAGGCAACAGACGGAACGGUUUCUCUGCCUGGGCACAAAGGCAG